GACUUACGAUAUUUAAACAUGAGGCUCCACAUGACAUUUCCAACGACAAGUCCAAAACUGUAGCCUAUUACUACUGAUUCCCAGGAAAAUCCACUAAAAAAAUAUGACUCGCCUUCUUCUGCAGACUCCAAUGGAUGAGGAACAUGUGAUGAAUCACUCGUUCCACAUUGCUUUGAUAAAGGAAGACCACAUAAAUCAAGGUUUCCGCCAUACGAAUCAUUUUCGAAUGUGUUGAACUGUAGACCGUGAGGAAUUGGUCCGACAAGAUGAUUUUGAGAGACGUUUAUGAAGGCCAGAAAGUUCAUUCUUGUCAAUUUCUGCAGAAUCUUUCCAGUGAGCCAAUUCCAGGAGAGAUCUAAAGCUUCAAGCGUAUUCAAUUGCCCCAGUUCCAUUGGAAUAUGACCUAUGAGAUUGUUAUGGGAUAAAUUGAGUAGCCAAAGUGAGCUGAGAUCCUUUAGUGUUUUCGGAAUGACACCUUCAAAAUGGUUGCUUGAGAGAUCUAUGGUUGUCAUAAUUGUGUUGAUUCUUUGUAGCUCAAUAUCAUGCCCUUUGAUUACCAAACUCAAUGAAUCCUCAUACGAAACUGUAGUUACUGAAAUUGUUGCGUGAUAAAUCUAAUAAGAUAAGCGAACUCAUGUUACAAAUGGAUGAAGGUAGUGGACCCAGAAGGGAGAUCAAGAUAUCCUAGAUUAUGGAAAUGCAAUUGUGGUAGGUAACCUGUCAAAAGAUUAUGUGAAAUAUUUAGGUACCACAAGUUGUCCCACCUCAUGCCACAAUUAUGUGAAAUUGUUCCUUCUUAAAAAAAUCUUUGAAUCGUAUGCUUUUAAAAUGAUUUUUAAACAUGUCACGUGGAAUAUUGAAAUUUAAAAUUCAAAAUAAAAAAUUAUAUAUAAGUAAAGAAGAAUUUUAAUGAUAUAAUAUUAAAUUAAAGUUAUAUAAAAAGACAUAUCAAAAUAUCUUUUAAUGUUGUAGUCUUAAACAUAUAUUAUGUGAAACGUUGAAAUAAAAAGAUGUUCAAAAUGAAAAAAAAUAUUCUUUUUGAGACAAAUUAAAGUACAAUAAAUAAAUUAAAAUUAUAAAAAUAUUUCAAAAAAAUAAUAAAACAAACAAAUUAUAAUCAAAGCUUUGAACGGCCUUAACCAGACCAAGAUACUUUAAUUGUUUUCAGAGUGUCCAAACUAAAAUUAGGAAAAGAAAAUAGGAAUGUCAUUUUUCUGACAGGUGAGUUGACUAUUUGUGGGGCAAUAUUUUUAACCAAUUAUAUUUUGCCAUGUGGUCAAAUUAUGUAAAGUUUUAAUUUAUCUUUCUUAAUUUUUAAAUAAUUUGAUUAUAUUUUUCUCUUUGUUAAAUUAAAUUUUGGGAAUAAGUCUAUUUUAGUCCAUCAAAAAUAACUUUGACAUGUAGUUUUGCAGAUAGUAGAGAUCCAGAUGAAACUGAAUCACAGGUCUUGAAUUCGAACCUGAAAAAUAAAAAAAAAUUCUUAUAUAGAGCGUUUUGCCCUUUAAAAAAAAACCUUUCCCUCAUUGAUAAUCAAACAAUAUGAAUUAGUUGUUAAACAACCAGAGACGUAACUUUCGUUCACGAAGUAUAAAUAUAUGUAGAAAAAUUGCCAAAAUCAAAAUCACGGAAGUUGAUACUGAGUUAGAGAACAUUUUAAGGCUGAUUUAUGUUUAGAAAGAUGCAGAACCACAAAAUUAUUAGCCAAUUCUGUAGUUUUGAGUACUCUUCUGCAUCAAAUUUUUAAAAAAUUAACUUUCUAAUAUUAAGUGAUUUCAAUCAUAAACCAAACUGAUCUAUUUGAUUACUGCUUUGCUUUUUCCUGUUUUGUUAUGCUGAUGAGUCAUGUUGCUCCGAAUCUCCUAAAAUAUAAUGACACCAAUGUUGGUUACUUAAAAUUGCACUACUUUUGAAGAAUCCAACACGCCCCGUUGACAUUUUUGAAGAGUUUGAGUAACAUAGCUAAUGAGCGGCUGUGUAGAUCACUUCUAUCAACUUAAAACAAAAACAAACUAACAUAACUUGAAUAACCAUUGAAAUUAAAAUAACACACAUAUAAUUAUGUUUCUAUCAAACAAAUACAAACAACAAACAGAAAAUUGAAAAGACAAAAAAAGAACCAGAAAAGUUCACUAAUUAUUCCACAAAAUCAAACAAAGACAAGUUGGCCCUCUCAAUCUUCCAUUAAGUCCGUCGUCUCUGAGCUCUCUUCUUUGGCCUCCUUCUUCUUUUGCGAGGCAUGAGUCCAUCGAAAAAUUCCACAAACCAUUUUGGCUUACGAUAUUUAAACAUGAGACUCCACAUGACAGUUCCAACAACUAGUCCAAAACUGUAGCCUAUGACUACUGAUUCCCACGUAAAUCCACUAAAAAAAUAUGACUCGCCUUCUUCUUCGGACUCCAAUUGUUGAGGAACAUGCGAUGAAUCACUCGUUNNNNNNNNNNNNNNNNNNNNNNNNNNNNNNNNNNNNNNNNNNNNNNNNNNNNNNNNNNNNNNNNNNNNNNNNNNNNNNNNNNNNNNNNNNNNNNNNNNNNNNNNNNNNNNNNNNNNNNNNNNNNNNNNNNNNNNNNNNNNNNNNNNNNNNNNNNNNNNNNNNNNNNNNNNNNNGUUUAAGACUGCCAGAAAGUUCAUUCUUGUCAAUUCCUGUGGAAUCUUUCCAGUGAGCCGAUUCCAAGAGAGAUCUAAAGCUUCAAGCAUACUCAAUUGUCCUAGUUUCAUUGGAAUAUCGCCUCUGAGAUUGUUACUGGAUAAAUUGAGUAGCCAAAGUGAGCUGAGAUCCUUUAGUGUUUUCGGAAUCACACCUUCAAAAUGAUUGCUUGAGAGAUCUAUGGUUGUCAUAAUUGUGUUGAUUCUUUGUAGCUCAAUAUCCUGCCCUUUGAUUACCAAACUCACUGAAUCCUCAUAGGAUGUGACAAAUUGCGAAUUCAACAUAGAUUCCAUGUACAUGAAAUUUCCUGCGUCCUCACCAUCUAAUUUGAUCAUUGCCUUGAAGUUUCCAAAAACUUUUGCAGGAAGUGAGCCACUGAAAUCAUUACGAGAAAGAUCAAAAAUUCGCAACUUGGGAAAGCAAAACUUAGUCUGACACGUACUUAUAGGUCCAUGGAACUUGUUCGACUUUAAUAUAAGGACCUGCAGCUCUUGAAGAGUUCCGAGCCAAGCUGGAAACGUGUCAUUUAUAGCAUUGUUCCCUACAUCAAGGACUUGUAGACCAUUACAAUUGAGCAACGACACAGGAACAGGUCCUUCAAAUCGAUUACCAUUUACGACAAUGGUACUCAAUAAAGUGCUCUGUGCACAUAAAUGGGGAAGACUCCCUGUGAAAUUGUUCCUUCUUAAGUCUAGCACCGUUAGACUAGCCAUGCUUCCCAAGCAAUGUGGAACUGAGUCACUGAAGUUGUUGCGUGAUAAAUCUAAUAAGAUAAGCGAACUCAUGUUACAAAUGGAUGAAGGUAGUGUACCCUGAAGGAAGUUAAAUUUCAGAUCAAGAAACUGUAGGUUAUAGUAAUGAAAUUGUGAUAGGUGGCCUGUCAAUGAAUUAUGAGAAAGGUUUAGGAACUGCAACGAGUCCCACCUCAUGCCGCUAAACCAGUCAGGAAUUUGACCACGAAUCUUAUUGUUAGAAAUAUCCAAGUACACCAGUGUCUUUACAUUUCUCAAGAAGUAUGGAAAAUCCUUCAGUUGACAAGAUGAUAAGAAUAAAGAUGAUAGGUUAAGAAAGGUGAUAUUCAUUCCCUCAUCAAUGGUGAUGUUAUUUGAUGAAAUGUCAAGGGUUUUAAGGUUUGU
rnacentral:lncRNA from 1 species